rnacentral:lncRNA from 1 species
UUUUUUUUUUUUUUUAGCAGAACUCACUUCUUGGUACCAAUUUCUGCCUUAGUCUUUUUAUGCUACUAUAACAGAAUACCAUAGGUUAGGGUGGCUUAUAAACAACAGAAGUUUAUUUCUCACAGUCCUGGAGCUGGGAAAUCCAAGGUCAAGGUGCUGGCAGAUUUUGUGUCUGGUGAAGACCUGCUUCUGAGUCAUAGAUGACCAUCUUUUCACUGUGUCCUUAUGUGGCAUGAGGGUCAGGGGAGCUCUUCAGAGUCUCUUUUAUAAAUACACUAAUCAUCUCCCAAAGGCUCCACCUCCAAAUACCUUCACAAUAGGGAUUCGAUUUCAACAUGAAUUUUGGUAGGACACAAACACUGUCUGUCACUUUGGGGAUGAGAGAAUAGAAGCAAAGAAACAUCAGAAUCACCUGGACAGUUUGUCCAAACCACAUGUACUCCUUACCAUCCUAGAUUAACUCACUCCCUCCUUUUGGAACCACUGUCAAUGCUCAGCCUUGAAGAAAAGUGUUAAGGAAGCCUAUAUCAGUAGGUUGCUUUUGGUAGCAAAUGACAGAAAAUGUAAAUCAAAAUGGCUUAAAUAACGAAGGGAUUUAUAACCCUUGCAAGCCAAACAUUUACUGAGUAAGUUGGGUUUUUGGAGAUUCUUGAUCCAAAAUACAUCAGCAAGAAUUUUUGUCUCUCUGCUCUGCCUUUUGCAGCCAUUCAACCUAAAGAUGCAUCCCAUUGGAGUCUCAGGAUGGCUAGAGGCAACACCUAAGUUUCCUUUUUCUUCCUUCACUUCUAGAAAGAGAAAGAGAACUUGCUGCUUUCUCAGAAACAGCUCUAAUAUUCACUCUGAUUGGCCUAGAACAUGAUGCGUGCCUACCUCUGAACCAAUCAUUGUAUAGAGAUAUGGAGUGCGUUUAUUGGCUUAGUUUUUCUUAACUGCUCCACCCCUGAGAAAGUGAUGGCAGUUGGAAGGGAAAGUUGGAAGGUGGGAGAAGGAAUUGAUAUUGGCAGUGUAGCCAACUAAGGCUGUGGGAUGGUCUAUAAAGUUAAGUGCAAAUCAGUAAUAAAAAAUCAUGAGACUCAUUUCACCCAUUCUUAGCACCAGUCCUGUUAAUUUCUAAUAGGGCUUCUCAACUUUGGCACUAUGGACACUGGGCUAGGUUUUGCCCUUGCUCUGUGGGCUGUCCCAUGCAUUGUAGGAUGCCUAGCAGCAUCCCUGGCUUCUACCCACAAGAUGCCAGUAGUAACCUCAACCAUCACCACUCCCUCACAGAUGUGGCAACUAAAAAUGUCUCCAGACAUUGCCAAAUGUCCUCUAAGGGACAAAAUUUCUCUCUCCAAACCACUGUUUUAUAGUUGAAGCUCCUAGAUAAAAAUCUCUAUCAUAGAAGUAGAGAUCCAUUUUCAUCAAUUUCUCCAACGUUUAAGAAAAUAAUUUAAACUGUAGCGUGAAGAAAUGUUAGAUGUAAAGCAGAAUUUCCUAUCAUCACACAUGUGCAUACAUAUUAAAUUUAUCCAUAUAUUACUAUAUUAUUUACUGCAAUUCUUUUUAAAAAUGUUCUCACAUUUGAUGUGAAGCCUAAGAUGAAAGGUGUUACUAGAUCACUUUUCAGAAUUCCUCCUAAGCAUCAGUUGGUAAGAUUUCUCAGCCUCUUUCAGAGGAGAAGCAUUGCACUGAAUAUUUGUAAAUAUUAUUGAUAUUUGUAAAUAUUAUGAGUGUGGGUGCUUCUGGUACAUAGAUCACACUUUGAGUAGCAAAAGGCUAUAAUUUGGCAGAAUGCAGGAGGGGAAGUUUGAGCUCUGCUGUGCUCAACUUAGAUCCAUGUGUCUUCUCAUUCUGGAACCCACCUAAAGAGCAGAUACUAUCUGGAACUGGUCUCAUGGUGGAAGGCAAAAGGUCAAAGAGGGAAACAAAGCCAUAUCAAAGAUAUAAUGGGGAGUUCCUGUUGUGGCUCUGUGGAAGUGAAUCUGACUAGUAUCCAUGAGGACACAGGCUUGAUCCCUGGCCUCACUCAUUUGGUCAUGGAUUCAGCUUUGCCCUGAGCUGUGGUGUAGGUUGUAGAUGCAGCUCGGAUCCUGUGUUGCUGUGGCUGUGGUAUAGGCCAGCGCUACAGCUCUGAUUCGACCCCUAGCCUGGGAACCUCCGUAUGCCAUGGAUGCGGCCCUAAAAAGACAAAAAUUUUUUAAAAUGAAAAUACAAACACUGUGUGUGCGAUGAUCGCCCAUCAUGUUUAAAAUCAGAAAUCUUUAAAGUGUCUUUAAAGCAAGUUACAUGACCCAGCCCAAAGUCAUUGGUGUAGGGGAAUUCCUACAUGUUAGAAAACACAUAGUGGUAAGUGUUGCAGAGCAUGCACAGGUGGCCCAAAGUACUCUCUACGUGGGAGAGUCAAGGAAGGCCUCAGAGAGAAUAUGAUGGUUAAACCAGAUUUUGAAGGAUAAGUAAAAGUUCUUAGCAAACUGGGAAUGGAGACCAAGGCGGGAGAGAGGGCACUGAAGCCAAGGGAAGAACAUAAAGCAGAGAGCUACAUGUUCUUCAAGAGGAUCUCUAUAAUCACAGGGGAAGAUGUUCAACAUCAUUAAUCAUACAGGAAAUGCAAAUCAAAACCACAAUGAGAUUUUACUUUAUCCCCACUAGGCUGUCUCUAAUCAAAAAGAACAGAGAAUAAGAAGAGCUAGUAAGAUUAUGGAGAAAUUGGAACCUUUUCACACUGUUGGUGGGAAUGUAAGAUGGUGUAGCUACUUUGGAAAACAGCCUGCUCCUUCCUCACAAGGUUAAACAUGGAGUUACCUUAUGAUCCAGGAAUUGCACUGCAACGUAAAUACAGGCAUACCUUGCUUUAUCGUGCUUCACAGACAGUGCAUUUUUUCCAAAUUUAAGGUUUGUGGCAAUCCUGUGUUGUCAGAUGAUGGUUAGCAUUUUUAGCAAUAAAGUAUUUUUAAAUUAAGGUGUGUAUGUUGUUUUUUGGAUGUAAUGUUAUUGUGCACUUAUUACAGUAUAGCAUAGUGUAGACAUAACUUUUAUGUGCACUGGGAAACCAAAAAAAUUCACGUGACUUGCUUUAUUGUGAUAUUCGAUUUAUUGUGUUGGUCCUGAACCCAACCCGCAAUAUCUCCAAGGCAUGCCUAUAUAUACUCAGGACAACUGAAGGCACACAUUUACACAAAUACUUGCACAUGAAUGAUUCAUAGUUGUACUACUCAUGAUAGCCAAAAAGUGGAAACAACCCAAAUGGCCAUCAACUGAUGAAUGAAUAAAUACAAUGCGGUAUAUCCAUACAAUGGAAUAUUAUUUGUCAAUAACAAGAAAUCAAAUACUAAUACAUGCUAUAUCAUUAUGCAAAUGAAAGAAGCCAGACACAAAAGGUAAAUAUAUGAUUCCAUUUAUAUGAAAUGUCCAAAAUAGGCAAAAUUAUAGAAAUAGAAAGUAUAUUGGUGGCUGCCUAGGACUGAGAAGGGAUUGGAGAGAAAUGGGGAGUGACGGCUAAUGGGUAAGGGGUUUCUCUUGUGGCUGAUGAAAAUGUUCUAAAUGCAAUUGUGGCAGUGGUUGCACAACUUUGUAGAUAUACCAAAACCAUUAAAUUGUUUACUUUUGUGGAUGAAUUGUACAGUAUGUGAAUUAUAUCUCAGUAAAACUAUUAGCAAAAAAAUGUUCCACAUGGUACACAUGGUAAGGCAUGGAGGCAUAGGAACAUAGUGUAUUUAAGAACCUAAGCAGGAGUUCCCUUGUGGCACGGUGGUUUAAGGAUCCAGUGUUAUCACUGCAGUGGUUCAGAUUCCUGCUGAGGUGAGGGUUUGCUCCCUGGUCCCUGAACUUCUACAUGCCACAAGCGUGGCAAAAAACAAAAAACAAAAAACAAACAAACAAUCAAGAACCUAAAAGCAGAUUGACGUAACUAUUAUGGAAUGGGAAUGGACAUGUCUAGGAAGGCAGGUAAGGAUUAGAUCAUGGAGGAUCUGAGGGCAGCUCACAGCAAGAAGAACAUUUUAGGAAUAUUAAUUCAUAUAUGGAGGCUAGGUCUGAAGGAAAGGGAUGCAAAGAGGAUAGGUAGUUGAGACUACUGAAGUAGAUCCAAUAUUAGUUCAUGAGGGCUGAGCCAAAAUGAUGGAAAGAUCUUUCUUACACAUGUUUGUGUCCCUAACAACUUAACAUGCCUGACACAAAACAGUGCCCAAUACUGUUUAGUGAAUGAAUGAAUGAAUGAAGUGGAUGAUUACAUUUUGCAUUUUCAUAGUUUCUGUUAUUAGUUAGAAAAUUUGGGGACACAACAAGGGAUUUUGGGGAGUGAGCUCAGGACUGUAACAUUUAGAGCAAGGAUACUUUUUAUGAGGGGAAUGGCUAUUUCAGGAAGAGAGAAAAAAUGAUGGUAGGUCCAAAGGUAUACUUUAUCCCUCUGUUUUGCCUAAGGCCAGCCUACUGUGUGCCUGGGGAUUUUUUUUUUUAAUGAAGAAAUAUAAGAGGCUGGUAAACUCCUUCUGACUUUGGUGCCUUCAGGCUUUUGUACCCAUUAGCCAAGCAGACAUAAUCUACUCCCACACAUAAGACAUAACCUAGUAUACUUUACAGUAUGUAUGGACCAGAUAAAUAUUUUAUUUUAUUUUAUUGUCUUUUUUUUUUUUGCCUUUUCUAGGGCCGCUCCCGUGGCAUAUGGAGGUUCCCAGGCCAGGGGUCUAAUCGGAGCUGUAGCCGCCGGCCUACGCCAGAGCCACAGCAACGCGGGAUCAGAGCCACAUCUGCGACCUACACCACAGCUCAUGGCAACGCCAGAUCCUUAACCCACUGAGCAAGGCCAGGGAUCGAACCCACAGCCUCAUGGUCCCUAGUUGGAUUCGUUAACCACUGAGCCACGAUGGGAACUCCCAGAUAAAUAUUUUACUGAGGCUCAGUGACUAAGAUUCAACCACCAGAAACCACUUAGAUAAUUUUGUUUUUCAAUCCAUUUCCUCCUGGUCAGCUAUGGCCACCCUACUCCGCUGUGAUACAUCCUUAGAUGAUAAAACUGGAAGAUCUAACUUCUAUGUACUAUAGCUUAGAGUUAAAGGUUGUGACCUAAUUUCUAAGCAGAGCAGAAGAAUCCUCUCUGGAGAGGGAUUACACACAAGGAGAUGAAGUGUUUAUGUUUGUAAUAACGGGAUGCCGCCACAGAAGACUAUGCUCUGUGUUAAUGAUUGAAGAACAAUUUUAUUUGUAGAUUUGCAGGGUGUAGGCGUUGGGGAGGGUUGCACAUUUGCCUCAUUCUGAGCCAUCUUCAACCUAUUCUCUAUGACAAGGAGGCUUCCUCUGGACUUCCUUUCCCUGCCUCAGUAAGACGAGCUUGGGUAUGAGUAAUUGAAAACUCUGUGCCGAGGGGGAGGGAGUGGGAUGGACUAGGAAUCUUGGGUUAAUAGAUGCAAAGUAUUGCAUUUGGAGUGGAUAAGCAAUGAGAUCCUGCUGUAUAGCACUGGGAACUAUAUCUAGUCACUUGUGAUGGAACAUGAUGGAGGAUAAUGUGAGAAAAAGAAUAUAUAUACGACUGGGUCAUUUUGCUGUGAAGUAGAAAAUUGACAGGACACUGUAAACCAGCUAUAAUAGAAACAAUAAAAAUCAUUACAAAAAUAAAAAAAUCAAGCUAAAAAAAGAAAUAAAAAA